rnacentral:rRNA from 1 species
GAUGAACGCUGGCGGCGUGCUUAACACAUGCAAGUCGAACGAGAGAAGAUUGGUGCUUGCACUGAUCCGAUCGAGUGGCGGACGGGUGAGUAACGCGUGGGUAACCUGCCUCAUACAGGGGAAUAACAGUUGGAAACGGCUGCUAAAACCGCAUAAGCGCACAGUAUCGCAUGAUACAGUGUGAAAAACUCCGGUGGUAUGAGAUGGACCCGCGUCUGAUUAGCUAGUUGGUGAGGUGACGGCCCACCAAGGCAACGAUCAGUAGCCGGCCUGAGGGGGUGAACGGCCACAUGGGGACUGAGACACGGCCCAAACUCCAACGGGAGGCAGCAGUGGGGAAUAUUGCACAAUGGGGGAAACCCUGAUGCAGCGACGCCGCGUGAGUGAUGAAGUAUUUCGGUAUGUAAAGCUCUAUCAGCAGGGAAGAUAAUGACGGUACCUGACUAAGAAGCACCGGCUAAAUACGUGCCAGCCGCCGCCGUAA